rnacentral:rRNA from 1 species
GACGAACCGUGCAAACGUUGUUCGGAAUCACUGGGCUUAAAGGGCGCGUAGGCGGGCAAGCAAGUCGAAGGUGAAAUCCCACGGCUCAAUCGUGGAAGUGCCCCCGAUACUGCUUGUCUUGAGGGAGAUAGGGGCGUGCGGAACUUCCGGUGGAGCGGUGAAAUGCGUAGAUAUCGGAAGGAACACCGGUGGCGAAAGCGGCGCGCUGGAUCUCUUCUGACGCUGAGGCGCGAAAGCCAGGGGAGCAAACGGG